AUUGAACGCUGGCGGCAUGCCUUACACAUGCAAGUCGAACGGUAACGCGGGGCAACCUGGCGACGAGUGGCGAACGGGUGAGUAACGCAUCGGAACGUGCCCAGUAGUGGGGGAUAGCCCGGCGAAAGCCGGAUUAAUACCGCAUACGACCUACGGGUGAAAGAGGGGGAUCGCAAGACCUCUCGCUAUUGGAGCGGCCGAUGUCAGAUUAGGUAGCUGGUGGGGUAAAGGCCUACCAAGCCUACGAUCUGUAGCUGGGCUGAGAAGACGACCAGCCACCCUGGGACUGAGACACGGCCCAGACUGCUACGGGAGGCAGCAGUGGGGAAUUUUGGACAAGGGGCGCAAGCCUGAUCCAGCCAUGCCGCGUGCGGGAAGAAGGCCUUCGGGUUGUAAACCGCUUUUGUCAGGGAAGAAACGCUCUGGACUAAUACUCUGGGGUAAUGACGGUACCUGAAGAAUAAGCACCGGCUAACUACGUGCCAGCCGCCGCUGUAAAAC
rnacentral:rRNA from 1 species